GUUGGGAGUUGUGGCGUGCUCCUGUGAUCCAGCUACCUGGAGACGGAGUCGGUGAACGGUGUGAGGGCAGGAGUCCUGCUUUCAGGUGUUCUAUUUUGAGCGGGCGUCCGCACUAAGAUCGGUAUCAAUAUGGGCACACCGAGGGAGCUCAGUGUGACCAGGUUGUCUAGGAGGGACGUACAGGCCAAGGGCGGAAACGCAGCAGGCAAAAGUCCCCGUGUCGAUCAGUAGUGGGAUCGCGCCUGUGAAUCGGUAUCUGUCAGCAAUAAAAUAUAUUUGGACUCGGCUCUUUUUUUGUUCUCUUUU
rnacentral:SRP_RNA from 1 species